rnacentral:rRNA from 1 species
CACGUAGGGCGCAAGCGUUGUCCGGAAUUAUUGGGCGUAAAGAGCUCGUAGGCGGUCUGUUGCGUCCGCUGUGAAAACCCGGGGCUUAACCCUGGGCUGGCAGUGGAUACGGGCAGACUUGAGUUCGGUAGGGGAGACUGGAAUUCCUGGUGUAGCGGUGAAAUGCGCAGAUAUCAGGAGGAACACCGGUGGCGAAGGCGGGUCUCUGGGCCGAUACUGACGCUGAGGAGCGAAAGCGUGGGGAGCGAACAGG